rnacentral:rRNA from 1 species
GACGAACGCUGGCGGCGUGCUUAACACAUGCAAGUCGAACGCUGAAGCUCAGCUUUUGUUGGGUGGAUGAGUGGCGAACGGGUGAGUAACACGUGAGUAACCUGCCCCCUUCUUUGGGAUAACGCCCGGAAACGGGUGCUAAUACUGGAUAUUCACUGGUCUUCGCAUGGGGGUUGGUGGAAAGGGUUUUUCUGGUGGGGGAUGGGGUCGCGGCCUAUCAGCUUGUUGGUGGGGUGAUGGCCUACCAAGGCUUUGACGGGUAGCCGGCCUGAGAGGGUGAACGGUCACAUUGGGACUGAGAUACGGCCCAGGAUACUACGGGAGGGAGCAGUGGGGAAUAUUGCACAAUGGGCGAAAGACUGAUGCAGCGACGCCGCGUGAGGGAUGGAGGCCUUCGGGUUGUGAACCUCUUUCGCUCAUGGUCAAGCCGCAACAAUGGUUGUGGUGAGGGUAGUGGGUAAAGAAGCGCCGGCUAACUACGUG